rnacentral:rRNA from 1 species
CCUACGGGAGGCUGCAGUGAGGAAUAUUGGUCAAUGGGAGAGAUCCUGAACCAGCCAAGCCGCGUGAGGGAAGACGGCCCUAUGGGUUGUAAACCUCUUUUGUCGGAGAACAAAACCCGGGACGUGUCCCGGACUGCGUGUAUCCGAAGAAAAAGCAUCGGCUAACUCCGUGCCAGCAGCCGCGGUAAUACGGAGAAUGCGAGCGUUAUCCGGAUUUAUUGGGUUUAAAGGGUGCGUAGGCGGUCCGUUAAGUCAGCGGUAAAAUUGCGGGGCUCAACCCCGUCGAGCCGUUGAAACUGGCAGACUUGAGUUGGCGAGAAGUACGCGGAAUGCGCGGUGUAGCGGUGAAAUGCAUAGAGAUCGGGAGGAACACCAGUGGCGUAGGCGGCCUACUGGGCUUUAACUGACGCUGAGGCACGAAAGCAUGGGUAGCAAACAGGAUUAGAUACCCGAGUAGUC